rnacentral:rRNA from 1 species
GAUGAACGCUGGCGGCGUGCUUAACACAUGCAAGUCGAGCGGUGAAAGAGAGCUUGCUCUCUGGAUCAGUGGCGAACGGGUGAGUAACACGUGAGCAAUCUGCCCCUGACUCUGGGAUAAGCGCUGGAAACGGCGUCUAAUACCGGAUACGAGCUGCGAAGGCAUCUUCAGCAGCUGGAAAGAACUUCGGUCAGGGAUGAGCUCGCGGCCUAUCAGCUAGUUGGUGAGGUAACGGCUCACCAAGGCGUCGACGGGUAGCCGGCCUGAGAGGGUGACCGGCCACACUGGGACUGAGACACGGCCCAGACUCCUACGGGAGGCAGCAGUGGGGAAUAUUGCACAAUGGGCGAAAGCCUGAUGCAGCAACGCCGCGUGAGGGACGACGGCCUUCGGGUUGUAAACCUCUUUUAGCAGGGAAGAAGCGAAAGUGACGGUACCUGCAGAAAAAGCGCCGGCUAACUACGUG